CGCAUUGUAGUUCGUGGUUCAGUUGUUUUGUCGCGCAGCCGAGUUUUGACCAGUGCUGUCUCGCGCUGGCUCGCAAAAUUUGGCUUUAUUGCCGGAAUCUUUUUCGAAUACAGUUGCAUUAACGCCGAGGGCUUACGAUGGUAAAUCCCGCCGCGAAGAUCGUCGUCUGCCUGGCGAUUCUGCUGCUCGCCGUAGUGUCUAUUUCAGCGGGAGAAGGCUGCCCAGAGCCCCCGCCGGUGGCCGGCGGGACGUACGAGUUCGGUGCUUAUGCCAGACCUGGAGCUGACGGGCGCUACCCGGAACAAUCCUUGGUUGUCGUCGUCUGCCUCAAAGGCUACCAACUACAAGGUGGCGAUUCAAUCAUCUCUUGUAACGAGAAUGGCGAGUGGUCCGCAUCACCGAAAUGCCAAGUUAGAGGCUGUUUGAGACCAGCGAAGCCCUGGAAUGGAAAGGCGGUUCGAUUUAAAGGGGGCCGUCGAGUAGGCGGACAGGCCGUCUUUAAGUGCAAGCCUGGAUUUGACCGAGUCGGCCCGGCGAGAAAGACCUGCACCGUGACACCACGGGGCGUAGAGUGGACUGGUCCCGGUGGGAUCACGGAAUGCGUAGCGCGAAACAGCUGCAGGAGUCCGGGUGUUUUGCACGGCGCCAACUGGACACUGAUCGAAUCGGACAGGAGAAGCCACCACGAGGACCCAACCUUCAGUCCCAACACCAAGAUCAACGUGGAGUGCUGGCCGGGCUUCGUCUCAACGGAAGGCCCCAGUGUGCAGAUCGCAUGCGGAAUGUCGGGCGAGUGGAGCCCACCCAUCCCAACCUGCCGCGAGGUGAUAUGCCCAUCGCUUCUUGAGAGCGAAGCAGACAUUGACCAUCUGCACAGUACCAUGGAAAACAGGACUUACAUACUGGGAGAGGUAGUGAAUUACCACUGUGAUGCAGGCUAUCGCAUCCUUGGCAAGACCCGGAGGCAGUGUUCUGGACCGAAUCUGUACUCUCCCAACCGGACUUGGACGGAUCUCGAUCCGAUCUGCUCAGAAAUUGAAUGCCCAGACCCAGGUCGUAUCCAGUUCGGAGGCAGUAGGUACUUAGGGUCUACAAGAAUUGGAGGAAGCGUAACUUUCCGAUGCCGGUCUGGCUACAGACUCCAAGGAUCGGCGGUCAGGCAUUGCCUACCUAACGGGAGGUGGAAUGGAACACUCACAACAUGUGAUCAUGAAAAUUUCUACUGCCCGAAUCCCGGCAUUCCUAUCGGCGGGCGAAUGGUCAACCAGCACAGGGUGCGUUUCCGUAAGGGGGAGCGGGUGUCGUACGAGUGCAGCAGGGACAAAGUGUUGAUAGGCUCGGAGGAGAGAGAAUGCCUCAAGUCGAGAAGCUGGAGCGGGGAGCCGCCGACAUGUGAAGGGCCUUACGACUUUGAGGACGCCAGCGAGGUAGCAGCGAGAUUAGGAUACACCUUGGACGGCCUUCCGACCGAUCCUCAGGACUCUGUCUCCGAAACCCCGGGCCCUAGAGGCAGGUUCAUAGAUCUUGGUUACACAGGAGGGAUGGACAUCUACUUCGUCUUUGAUGUAUCUGGAAGCGUUAGAAACAGCAUGGACGGCUUGACAUCCAGCAUUAACCUCGCCAAAGCUCUCGUCAAAAAGAUUGGUGGUUUGGAUGGUCCUCGCCGUGCUCGUUACGGCGCAUGUGUGUAUGCAACCAACGCUCUUUCGCUUUUUGGAGUCUCCGACUCUCAGUCAUCCGUGAACACCUUGCUUGAGAACAUGAUCAAGAAUCCUCAACACAUUCGGGAUCUAGGAACUGGGACCGCUACUGGUAAAGCACUCCAGCUUGUCCAUGAAUUCAUGAUACCAUCAGCCGGAGAAAACAUACAAGAAUCAAAGAAGUACCUAUUCCUAUUCACAGACGGCAAGACGAACAUGGGUGCCAAUGUUGCCCGACCCAAGACAGAAGCAAAGACCCUCCGCAAGAGGUACGAUGUCAAAAUCCACUGCAUUGGAGUGGGCGACGAAGUCGAUAAGAGUGAACUACGAGAUAUCGCCUCCAAACCGGUCAGCGAUCACUUGUUUGUCGUCGAAAACGCUAACGAUGUUUACGAGGUCGCCCAAAAUCUUUUAGAACAAAAAAUCGAUUACUCACGCUGUGGGCUCAACAGACCCCCAAAGACGCGUGCAACUGGAAGAAUCGUCGGCGGGGACAAUGCUCAACAGGGUAUGUGGCCCUGGCAGGUGGCGCUGUUCUGUCAGAAAACGUCAGGAUGUGAAAGCUCAAAAUGCCCGCCCUUAUUUUACUGCGGUGGCAGCCUCAUUGCUCCUAAUUGGGUUUUGACUGCUGCACACUGUUUAAGAAAAUGUCAAGCACCCAAGGUAUUCUUGAUAUAUACGCAGAAUCACUCCGCCAAUUUGACCAAGCCCAAGUGUACACCAUUGACGCUCAAAUACAUCAUGAAAACUUCAGCCAAGUCACAUUUGAUCACGAUAUUGCCCUGCUCAGGUUGAGCAAGAAUGCUACACUCAGUCCCAACGUUAGACCUAUUUGUCUGCCACAGCCAACAAUGCAAGAUGACGCAAUUUACUCAACAGACGGCAAGUCUUACGUUACCGGCUGGGGCCAUACGGAAGCCUUCGAUGUCAGCGUCGACGAAGGGCG
rnacentral:misc_RNA from 1 species